GAUGAACGCUGGCGGCGUGCCUAAUACAUGCAAGUCGAGCGAACAGACGAGGAGCUUGCUCCUCUGACGUUAGCGGCGGACGGGUGAGUAACACGUGGAUAACCUACCUAUAAUACUGGGAUAACUUCGGGAAACCGGAUCUAAUACCGGAUAAUAUAUUGAACCGCAUGGUUCAAUAGUGAAUGACGGUUUUGCUGUCACUUAUAGAUGGUUCCGCGCCGCAUUAGCUAGUUGGUAAGGUAACGGCUUACCAAGGCAACGAUGCGUAGCCGACCUGAGAGGGUGAUCGGCCACACUGGAACUGAGACACGGUCCAGACUCCUACGGGAGGCAGCAGUAGGGAAUCGUCCGCAAUGGGCGAAAGCUUGACGGAGCAACGCCGCGUGAGUGAUGAAGGUCUUCGGAUCGUAAAACUCUGUUAUUAGGGAAGAACAAAUGUGUAAGUAACUAUGCACGUCUUGACGGUACCUAAUCAGAAAGCCACGGCUAACUACGUG
rnacentral:rRNA from 1 species